rnacentral:rRNA from 1 species
UACGUAGGGGGCAAGCGUUGUCCGGAUUUAUUGGGCGUAAAGAGCGUGUAGGCGGCUAGGUAGGUCCGUUGUGAAAACUCGAGGCUCAACCUCGAGACGUCGAUGGAAACCAUCUAGCUAGAGUCCGGAAGAGGAGAGUGGAAUUCCUGGUGUAGCGGUGAAAUGCGUAGAUAUUGGGAGGAACACCAGUGGCGAAGGCGGCUACCUGGACCGGUUCUGACGCUGAUGCGCGAAAGCGUGGGUAGCAAACAGG